rnacentral:tRNA from 1 species
GGGGCUACAGCUCAGUGGCAGAGUAUGUGUCUAGCACACACAAAGGCCUGGGUUUAAGUCCCAGAAGCCCAA